GCACGGGUGGAGAAACAGUAGACUCGCCAUCUUGAGGUGGUGGUGCCUGUAAGGGCGUGGAGGUGCGAAUCCUCUCCCGUGCACCA
rnacentral:tRNA from 2 species